rnacentral:rRNA from 1 species
CAAAAUGCGAUACUUGGUGUGAAUUGCAGAAUCCCGUGAACCAUCGAGUUUUUGAACGCAAGUUGCGCCCGAAGCCAUUCGGCCAAGGGCACGUCUGCCUGGGCGUCACGC